AGUGAACGCUGGCGGUAGGCCUAACACAUGCAAGUCGAACGGCAGCACAGUAAGAGCUUGCUCUUACGGGUGGCGAGUGGCGGACGGGUGAGGAAUACAUCGGAAUCUACUUUUUCGGGGGGGAUAACGUAGGGAAACUUACGCUAAUACCGCAUACGACCUACGGGGGAAAGCAGGGGAUCUUCGGACCUUGCGCGAUUGAAUGAGCGGAUGUCGGAUUAGCUAGUUGGCGGGGUAAAGGCCCACCAAGGCGACGAUCCGUAGCUGGUCUGAGAGGAUGAUCAGCCACACUGGAACUGAGACACGGUCCAGACUCCUACGGGAGGCAGCAGUGGGGAAUAUUGGACAAUGGGCGCAAGCCUGAUCCAGCCAUACCGCGUGGGUGAAGAAGGCCUUCGGGUUGCAAAGCCCUUUUGUUGGGAAAGAAAAGCAGCAGGUUAAUACCCCGCUGUUCUGACGGUACCCAAAGAAUAAGCACCGGCUAACUUCGUG
rnacentral:rRNA from 1 species